rnacentral:rRNA from 1 species
GUUAUAGGAUCAAGCGAAUAAGUGCAUAUGAUGGAUGCCUUGGCGAUCACAGGCGAUGAAGGACGCGGUAGCCUGCGAAAAGCUACGGGGAGCUGGCAAACAAGCUUUGAUCCGUAGAUGUCCGAAUGGGGAAACCCACCGUAGUAAUACGGUAUCCCAUGCUGAAUACAUAGGCAUGUGGAGGCGAACCGAGUGAACUGAACCAUCUCAGUAACUCGAGGAAAAGAAAUCAACCGAGAUUCCGGAAGUAGUGGCGAGCGAAACCGGACCAGCCUGGAUGUUUUAGCGUAGUGAAUAGUCGAAUGGAAUGGAAAGUCCAGCCGUAGCAGGUGAUAGCCCUGUAGGCGAAAUUCAGUACGUGGAACUAAGCAUCGAACAAGUAGGGCGGGACACGUGAAAUCCUGUCUGAAUAUGGGGGGACCAUCCUCCAAGGCUAAAUACUCGUGAUCGACCGAUAGUGAACCAGUACC